rnacentral:tRNA from 1 species
AUCUUCAUAGCUCAAUGUUUAGAGCACUGGUCUUGUAAACCAGGGGUUGUGAGUUCGAUUCUCACUGGAGGCU